UCAGAAAUCUCAGAUUGUAGUUUUUGCAAGUACAACAUGGAUUAUAGGUCAAAAGUUGAAUGAACAAGUACUUAUGUCCUUUCAAUUUCUUACAGGCUGAGUUGCUGUUGCCCAUAACACGCUAGCAUUCUGCUAAUGAAUGCUGAUUGGUCAGUGAAGGACUGAUUACGACCAGAGAUCCCCCUUGAUGGCAUCCAAAGCACGAAGUGACUCAGAGCUUGCCAUAAAGCAGUAUCUCUGGCGGUACAAUGUGUGUGAUGUCAUUGACAUUUUAAAAAGGCUUUUUAGAACACACA